AACAACUACUACCAGUACUACAACACUACAACACUACACCAGUACUACAACUACUCCAACUACAACAACUACCACCAGUACUCCAAUUACUACACCUACAUCAACUACACCCAGUAAACCAUCAUAUGUUACAGUUCUCAAAUUGAAGAUGACCUCUUUGGUGGACUUGUCUAAAAUUGAUAGAGAUACAUUCCUUACACAGAUAAAAAAUGCACUGAUAUCCAAAGGGCUGCCCCAACAGACGGUCAUCCGACUCAUAAACAGCAAACCAGAGAUUGGUGCAACUGGCACAACAUAAACAUUUGACAGCUUCGAGAGCUUUUUCCUUUCAGCUGUUGAAUGAAGUUUUGUCUUCACUGUUCUUUAACACACAUUUUUAAUAAUUACAAUCACUUCUCAAGAGCAGCCUUUAAAAGCAACACAUUAGUCUGACUCUCCAGUGCUAUAAUCUGAAAUGAAUUAAUUUGUACUUUUGUUAGAUUGUGAAGAUUAAAUGUUAUUUUGCACUGAGUAUCCUUAGUCUAGCACAGAUACACUGAUUGAUUAUCCACAGUGACGGGAAUAACGGCGUUGCAAGUGACGGCGUUACUUUUUUCAGUAACAAGUAAUCUAACUAAUUACUAUUCCUAUCGUACAACGCCAUUACUGUUACUAACAAGAAAAUGCAGUGCGGUCACGUUAGUAUUUUUCAACAGACGGUUGAAGCUGCGUUCAGCUUAACACACGGAAGUAGUUGUCUACGUAAAUAAUCAUGGUGCUACAGCUUUAAGCAGCUGCGCGCCUUGUGUAGUUAGUGUGUAGUGUUGUGGAUAGUUUUGUGUUGUGUGUCAAAACAAUG